rnacentral:rRNA from 1 species
AUUGAACGCUGGCGGCAUGCCUAACACAUGCAAGUCGAACGAGUGGCGGACGGGUGCGUAAUGUCUGGGAAACUGCCUGAUGGCGGGGGAUACCUACUGGAAACGGUAGCUAAUACCGCAUACCCUUAGAUUUGCCCAGAUGGGAUUAGAUGGUUGGUGGGGUAACGGCUCACCAAGGCAACGAUCCCUAGCUGGUCUGAGAGGAGGACGAGCAACACGGGAACUGAGACACGGCCCAGACUCCUACGGGAGGCAGCAGUGGGGAAUUUUGCAGAAUGGGGGCAAGCCUGAUGCAGCCAUCCCGCGUGUAUGAAGAAGGCCGUCGGGUUGUAAAGUACUUUUGGCGGGGAGGCGUUACCCGCAGAAGAAGCACCGGCUAACUCCGUGCCAGCAGCCGCGGUAAUAC